CCUGCAUACAGACCGCUCAUUAAAGUCACCAAACCAGUUCACAAACAAAUACAAGUGUGGCCGGGAGGGUCGUCAGAGGCUCUUCAAGACUGCUUAAAUAUAUUCCAGU